ACCACCAUUUCCCAGUCGAAUGAACUAGGGAACAUAAAGUGGGUAUCUGUAGUGGGUAUCUACUUGGUGAAUAUGUUUUGUAAAUCCUGUCCACCCCCGUGGAUGGGUAGUCGGCAAAACGUCGGACUGUCAUGAGAAUUGAAACGCUGGCACACUGUUGGGUCCUGAGGCAACACGUUGUGUUGUCACCCUGCUUGGUGGUGGGGUGUGGACUUUGACUUCUGAAUAGUGGUUGCGAGCAUCUAAACAUAGCCUCGCUCGUUUUCGAGUGAGGCUGGUUUUUGCAAUUUUAUUAGCUAAGUUCUUAAGGGCGCAUGGUGGAUGCC
rnacentral:misc_RNA from 1 species